UCGACUAGCCGUUCAGGAGCCCUCGAACCUCGCUUCAACUCCGAUAACUGCGGAGAAAGCAAGAACUCGGCUACCAGGUAUGUUUACAGUCCCUAAAUUUCUUUCUUUUAUUCCUUUUCUACUCAAAUAAAGAACCAAAUACUCAUAGGAACAAAGAACUGAAAGAAAAAAAAGGAAAAGAAAACCAAAUGCAAAGGAAACUUUCGAUCACCUUUCGAACUUUUUUCUUUCGAUUUUUCUGAAUAUUUUUUUUUGUAUACAAUAUGUAUGUGUUUUUUUGUAUCCACUCCCCACUUACAAAGGCCUUUUUUGCCUUUUGUCUUAUAGGCCGAAAAUCUAAAACAAAAAUAAAAUAAAAAAGAAUACAAUUUUCUCCUUUUCUUUGCUGCGUUUUUCGUUUGCGUUUGCUGCAAGUACGGCCGUACGAUGUCAGGGACGUGGCGCGGAGGCGCAGCACGCGCGGGGAUCUGACUCUGUUGCGUUGUUCGUCUUUCGUUUGUUGUAGAAAUGGCCAUACGAUGACGUGGCACGGCGCAGCGCAUGGAGGUGUGGGGAGAAGGAGGCGCACGUGCGAGGGAAGGCGGCGGCUAAAGAUCUCAGAAACCCUAGGGUUUCUGUUUGUGAUUCUUUUUGUUUUGGGCUUCAAUGUAAUUGGGCCGAGGUAUUUGGGCCAUUGUAAUUGGGUUUGUAUAACUGAACAUUUGGACUUUAAUUAUAUAUAUUUUUUAUUUGGGUUUUAAUAUCUGUAUCGGGCCGGGCAAAUUUGGGCCACUACAGAAACACGUAUUUUACAAAAAAUGGUCCCGAC
rnacentral:lncRNA from 1 species